GACGAACGCUGGCGGCGUGCUUAACACAUGCAAGUCGAACGGAAAGACCCUGCUUUUGUGGGGUGCUCGAGUGGCGAACGGGUGAGUAACACGUGAGUAACCUGCCCUUGACUUUGGGAUAACUUCAGGAAACUGGGGCUAAUACCGGAUAGGAGCUCCUGCUGCAUGGUGGGGGUUGGAAAGUUUCGGCGGUUGGGGAUGGACUCGCGGCUUAUCAGCUUGUUGGUGGGGUAGUGGCUUACCAAGGCUUUGACGGGUAGCCGGCCUGAGAGGGUGACCGGCCAUAUUGGGACUGAGGUACGGCCCAGACUCCUACGGGAGGCAGCAGUGGGGAAUAUUGCACAAUGGGCGGAAGCCUGAUGCAGCAACGCCGCGUGCGGGAUGACGGCCUUCGGGUUGUAAACCGCUUUCGCCUGUGACGAAGCGUGAGUGACGGUAAUGGGUAAAGAAGCACCGGCUAACUACGUG
rnacentral:rRNA from 1 species